AAACGACAGACAACUGCCUUCAAUGCAGCGCUACAAUCGUGGAAAUAUAUAUUUUACUAGACGAGCAUGAAUCGGUGGUAACGUUCUCUCCGAACUUCAAAAGCCGCAGAGGUCUGCAUCCGCGCCUGUGCCGAAACGCCGUGUCAACAGCGCAACAUUUCGCUGUGUCAGACGUUGACUGGGGAGACAGACCACACGUCAGGAGCGCCAGUCGACGCGAGGUCUGCCACCAUACUCAGGUGUGGGUUAUCUUCCCACUGUAGGUUAUUCAGUGGUUGCAGAGUCUAUUUUUAGCACGCGGCCGGGGGGGUCACGUGACGGGGGAGUGACGUCACGAAUGUUGUUGUUGGUGGAGGAGCUGCCAAUAUGGAGGAAAGAGAGCUGUGACGGGAACAAAAAUACACAUACAUUUCUUUUUUUUUUUACUCCCCCAAAAAAUACACACCAGCUAGCGCAUCCGCCGUCGAAGAUCCGGACAUCUCCUACAGAAAGGCAAACGGGAUAUCUCCUUGAUCAUCAGCGAGGUCGUCUCGUCGCCCCCCCCAAUCCUGCGAAAAGCCAUGGCAGAUGCGGAAGACCCCCUUUAGAGCCCGUUACCCACAAUCCCACCCUUCACCCCAUCCCCUCUCCCUGCCCUCACGGGCACAGGAACGCUAAACCGGCCCCCAGACACCCCGGCCCCUCGCAACAGUCUCGAAAUAAGAAUCUGAGGACAGCUGGCCACCUCCCUCUUCUGACUUUACCCAUGAGCUCACCAAAUAAUCCAGGGCAGUUGUUUUUUGCAUGCAUUAGAACUGCUCUGCCAGCUCCUGCCAGUUCUGCAGGCUUCUGCCAGGAGAGUGACGCAGGGGAGGGGCGGGGUCUGCGAAACUGGGGUAUCGGCCAGAACAGAAUUGCUCCAGCUCUUUUUGUGAAGGUGAGCUGCGGUUGGCACAUCGAGAGAGCGCCGUGGACCAGCGGGGACUCCUGCCUGCCUCCUGUUGCAUUACAGAGAGAAAUCGGGCGCGCACUUUGAUGCGUCGGAGCAAGAGCUUCACCUCUGAGCUUGAUGCUGCCGUGAAGACAGACAUCAGCAGAUCUCGACGCUGGAAGCUUUAUAGUAUUACCUUGUGCUCUGCGUGGCUUGGUAGAUGCUCUCCUGUACAGUGCGCCGGUUUAAAAAUGCAAACAUGGAAGAGAAACAAGCAGCUUUCUCUACAAACUGUGAGAUGAUCGCCCUCUACGUCCUUCGGAAUGACCGCCUUCCCAUCUUGUUAAAUUCCUCGCUGACCGUGGAUUUUAGUGGCACAGUGCUUGAAAUUGGGAAGAGGCAGGGAAGCAUGUUGCCAUAGGGCUUCCUCCUCUCUGACCCGAUCGCUCUCCUCUGACCCUUCUCCUGUGCGGCGCCACUGCUUUUAUACACCACAGCUCUUGGAAACCGAGGCCGAGGAGCAGCGUGUGGGGCUGAAGGUAAAUGUGUGUCCUCGGUCACGGCUGCGGACAGGCACCCGGUAUUACCAAGCCCAGCCACACAGCCUUGGCAGGUACCAAGCCCAAAACGGAGCACCCUCAAACCUGUCAGCGCUCGGCCUUGCACAUUGUGCGUGGCUGGCGACACACCCACUGGGAAGGCCGACACAGAAGUUAGCCACAGCAGUGCUGUGGGGAAAGUGAACAGUUCUGCUUGGGCUGGGGUAGCUCCAGGUGCUGUGGCAGGGCUCUGUGGUUUUCUGGAGAUCACGAAGGCUCUGGGGAUGAUUUAACUUGCCGCCUUCGUCUGUUUUAUGAGUCGGCCACCCUUUCCUCUGCGCAGAGUAGGCCGGGCUGGUGACUGAUUCAGCGCUGGAGAGAG